rnacentral:miRNA from 2 species
GUCGGUAAUUUGUUAGAUCAAAC